UAAGGGCGCACGGUGGAUGCCUUGGCACUAGAAGCCGAUGAAGGACGUUACUAACGACGAUAUGCUUUGGGGAGCUGUAAGUAAGCUUUGAUCCAGAGAUUUCCGAAUGGGGAAACCCAGCAUGAGUUAUGUCAUGUUAUCGAUAUGUGAAUACAUAGCAUAUCAGAAGGCACACCCGGAGAACUGAAACAUCUUAGUACCCGGAGGAAGAGAAAGAAAAUUCGAUUCCCUUAGUAGCGGCGAGCGAAACGGGAAGAGCCCAAACCAACAAGCUUGCUUGUUGGGGUUGUAGGACACUCUAUACGGAGUUACAAAGGACGACAUUAGACGAAUCAUCUGGAAAGAUGAAUCAAAGAAGGUAAUAAUCCUGUAGUCGAAAAUGUUGUCUCUCUUGAGUGGAUCCUGAGUACGACGGAGCACGUGAAAUUCCGUCGGAAUCUGGGAGGACCAUCUCCUAAGGCUAAAUACUCUCUAGUGACCGAUAGUGAACCAGUACCGUGAGGGAAAGGUGAAAAGCACCCCGGAAGGGGAGUGAAAUAGAACCUGAAACCGUGUGCUUACAAGUAGUCAGAGCCCGUUAAUGGGUGAUGGCGUGCCUUUUGUAGAAUGAACCGGCGAGUUACGAUUUGAUGCAAGGUUAAGCAGUAAAUGUGGAGCCGUAGCGAAAGCGAGUCUGAAUAGGGCGUUUAGUAUUUGGUCGUAGACCCGAAACCAGGUGAUCUACCCUUGGUCAGGUUGAAGUUCAGGUAACACUGAAUGGAGGACCGAACCGACUUACGUUGAAAAGUGAGCGGAUGAACUGAGGGUAGCGGAGAAAUUC
rnacentral:rRNA from 1 species